AUUCUACUCCCUCCAUUGCACAAUACAUGCCUUCUAUUUGUCAAAAUAUAUAUGUAUCUAGACAUGUCUUAGUAUAUAGGUACAUCCAUUUUUGGACAAAUGGAAGUCAAGUAUUUUGGAACGGAGGAAGUACACA
rfam:Triticum aestivum genome assembly, contig: Triticum_aestivum_CS42_TGACv1_scaffold_396093_5AS